GUCCACACCGUAAACGAUGGAUACUAAGUGUAGGAGAUAUUAAGUCUUCUGUGCCGUCGCAAACGCAGUAAGUAUCCCACCUGGGGAGUACGGCCGCAAGGUUGAAACUCAAAGGAAUUGACGGGGCCCGCACAAGCAGUGGAGUAUGUGGUUUAAUUCGAAGCAACGCGAAGAACCUUACCAGGGCUUGACAUAUACAGGAAUACUUAAGAGAUUAAGUAGCUCUUCGGAGUCCGUAUACAGGUGGUGCAUGGUUGUCGU
rnacentral:rRNA from 1 species